CACGUAGGGCGCGAGCGUUGUCCGGAAUUAUUGGGCGUAAAGAGCUCGUAGGCGGCCUGUUGCGUCCGCUGUGAAAGCCCGGGGCUUAACCCCGGGUCGGCAGUGGAUACGGGCAGGCUAGAGGUGAGGUAGGGGAGAAUGGAAUUCCCGGUGUAGCGGUGAAAUGCGCAGAUAUCGGGAGGAACACCGGUGGCGAAGGCGGUUCUCUGGGCCUUACCUGACGCUGAGGAGCGAAAGCGUGGGGAGCGAAACAGG
rnacentral:rRNA from 1 species